GAAAAAAAUGAAAAAUAACAAAGGUGUUAUGCGUUUGAAGGUGUUAUUGUGCAUUGUUGAACAAUUUAUUUUGAUUAAUUGUGGUAAAUUAUUUUUAAAAAAGUACAAAAUGGAGUUGGACUUUGCGGAUAUCGAGGAUAUCGAUGAUAGCGAGGACAUUCAUCAUAAUUUUAUAUAUAUAUCCACGAAUAUCGAGACGAUAUAUUCGAGACGGGAGUGACUCGUUUAAUUGUUUUGUCUGCCUUUUCUCAUGACCCUCCUGCGGAAUCCACAGACUGAAGAAGAAAUAAGGUACAAUGAAACCCAGUUCAGGACCCGACAGAUAGUAGAAAGAACGUUCGGUGUUUGGCAUUCUUGUAGAAGAAGAUGAAAUUGAAAACCAAAAUGAAGAUGGAGAAGAAUUAUUAGGAAACGUGGAAAAUGUUAAUGGCAUUGAUGGAUUUGCUACACGUGAAGCACUGAUUGCCCGUAUGUUUCAUUGUGUAAUUGUGUCAAACGAAAUGUAAUAAGGGGUUUUUCAUGCCGCAAGGCUUUUUCACCUUAUUGUGUCUAUCGAUCGAAUAAAUAAUCAUUAUUCUUUCAGCUCAAA